rnacentral:snoRNA from 1 species
GUGCAAAUGAUGGAAAAAUCACUGUUUGGGGGAUAAAAUGAUAUGAACUAAGGAACCAUUGAUGUGC